GGCGAAAUCCAUGAUCCUAUGCUGCCGAGAAAAGCCUCUAGCGAGCUGGUACAUGGCCCGUACCCCAAGCCGACACAGGUGGUCAGGUAGAGAAUACUAAGGCGAUCGAGAGAACUGUGGUUAAGGAACUCGGCAAAAUGCCCCCGUAACUUCGGGAGAAGGGGGACCAGUCCUGGUGACGACAUUUACUGUCUGAGCUGGGGUUGGUCGCAGAGACCAGAGAGAAGCGACUGUUUACUAAAAACACAGGUCCGUGCGAAGUCGUAAGACGAUGUAUACGGACUGACGCCUGCCCGGUGCUGGAAGGUUAAGAGGACCGGUCAGCCACUUCGGUGGCGAAGCUGAGAAUUUAAGCCCCAGUAAACGGCGGUGGUAACUAUAACCAUCCUAAGGUAGCGAAAUUCCUUGUCGGGUAAGUUCCGACCUGCACGAAUGGCGUAACGACUUCUCUGCUGUCUCAACCACAGACUCGGCGAAAUUGCAGUACGAGUAAAGAUGCUCGUUACGCGCGGCAGGACGAAAAGACCCCGGGACCUUCACUAUAGCUUGGUAUUGGUGUUCGGUUCGGUUUGUGUAGGAUAGGUGGGAGACUGUGAAACUCGCACGCCAGUGUGGGUGGAGUCAUUGUUGAAAUACCACUCUGACCGUAUUGGACAUCUAACCUCGGACCAUGAUCUGGUUCAGGGACAGUGCCUGGUGGGUAGUUUAACUGGGGCGGUUGCCUCCUAAAAAGUAACGGAGGCGCCCAAAGGUUCCCUCAGCCUGGUUGGCAAUCAGGUGUUGAGUGUAAGUGCACAAGGGAGCUUGACUGUGAGACGUACAUGUCGAGCAGGGACGAAAGUCGGGACUAGUGAUCCGGCACCGGCAAGUGGAAGCGGUGUCGCUCAACGGAUAAAAGGUACCCCGGGGAUAACAGGCUGAUCUUCCCCAAGAGUCCAUAUCGACGGGAUGGUUUGGCACCUCGAUGUCGGCUCGUCGCAUCCUAGGGCUGGAGUAGGUCCCAAGGGUUGGGCUGUUCGCCCAUUAAAGCGGCACGCGAGCUGGGUUUAGAACGUCGUGAGACAGUUCGGUCUCUAUCCGCCGCGCGCGUAAGAAACUUGAGGAAACCUGUCCCUAGUACGAGAGGACCGGGACGGACGAACCUCUGGUGUGCCAGUUGUUCCACCAGGAGCACCGCUGGUUAGCUACGUUCGGAAGGGAUAACCGCUGAAAGCAUCUAAGCGGGAAGCCUGUUCCAAGAUGAGGUUUCUCACCACCUAGCGUGGUUAAGGCCCCCCACAGACCAUGGGGUUGAUAGGCCAGAACUGUAAGCACAGCAAUGUGUUCAGGUGACUGGUACUAAUCGGCCGAGGACUUACC
rnacentral:rRNA from 1 species